UACGAAGGGGGCUAGCGUUGCUCGGAAUUACUGGGCGUAAAGGGCGCGUAGGCGGACAGUUUAGUCAGAGGCGAAAGCCCAGGGCUCAACCUUGGAAUAGCCUUUGAUACUGGCUGUCUUGAGUUCGGGAGAGGUGAGUGGAAUGCCGAGUGUAGAGGUGAAAUUCGUAGAUAUUCGGCGGAACACCAGUGGCGAAGGCGACUCACUGGCCCGAUACUGACGCUGAGGCGCGAAAGCGUGGGGAGCAAACAGG
rnacentral:rRNA from 1 species